AGAGACUUCAAGAUACAUCUGCUGCAUCCGCCGACCAAGGAGUCUCUAUCUUAUUCUAUCUUUUAGUAAUCAACUUCCUUCUUAAUGUUGUUUUAGACGUUUUGGAGUUAGAGCAUUGUACUACAUUUCUUUCAUCUUUUGUUCAUGUUGAGUUUUCGGGUUUUAGGAUAAUAUUGUAGACUUCCUUGAUGUUGAGUUAUAGAUUUUAAGCGGUAUUUAUAUACAAUUUUCUUCUAGUUGUUCAGUUUUGAAUUAUUUACUUUCGCAAGUUAUUUUGUUUUCGCAUUUUUAGGCUUACCUAGUCGUAGGGACUAGGUGUCGUCACGACAUGCUCAUGGAGGGAGAACUGGAGUCGUGACAAGUUAGUAUCAGAGCUCUAGGUUCAUAGGAGUCCCGAAACAUAGCUCGGUUUAUUAGAAUCUCACUGAUCAGUACGGAGACGUCUGUACUUAUCUACGAAGGGCUAUUUAACGGUUAGGAAAAUUCCACUUCAUUUGAUUUCAUGGUCGUGCAAGAUUUUGAUAUCACAGCUAAAUUUCUGUCUUUCUAUUCUCUUAUAGAUGGUGAGGACACGUGCCACUUAAGACGAUCAGGCACCCAUACUCCCUAAUGGAGCCGUCAGAGGUCGGGCUUGGGGUAGAGGUCGAGGGCGUGCAUGUGGUGCAGCCAGAGCACCUGCGCGAGCUGCCGCCGAGGUACCACCAGUAGAUCCAGUUGGAGUCGAGGCACCUGACACGCCUACUACCACUGAUACCACUAGACUAGCACAGUUCAUGAGCAUGUACACCACUUUUGCUUAAGUAGGGUUGCUUCCCCUUGUUGCACCCACAUCCUAGGCCGGGGAGGAGCACAGACUCCAGCUGCCCACACUCCUAAGCAGCGAGUUCCUGCUAAGCAGGUCCCCGAGAUUAUUCCAAUACCACCUGAAAUACAUGUUUAGCCCGAAGACAAGAUAGCGGCUUCGAGGAGAAGCAACUGAGGCUUGAGAGGUUCGAGAAGUACAAGCCUCUUGUAUUUAGUGGUCUAGAAUAGGAGGAUGCUCUGGGUUUUCUUGAUGAGUGCUUUCGCAUUUCCGUACCAUGGGUAUUUCGAGAUUCAGCGGAGUUUCUUUCACUACUUUUCAGCUCUGAGGGGUUGCCUAUGAGUGGUGGUGCACCUAUGAGUUAGAUAGUCCAGAUAAGGCUGCUUUACUGACUUGGACUUACUUUUCUGAUCUAUUCCUGAAAGAGUAUAUUCCUCAUAGAUGCAGGGAUGUAUGGCGCACAGAGUUUGAGUAUUUGCUCUAGGGUGCUAUGACUGUUUUAGAGUAUGCUGCCUGUUACACCAGUUUGGCUAGGCAUGCACCAGCCUUGGCUGCUACUGUUUGCGAGAGGAUUCGCUGGCUUAUUGAGGGGCUUACUCGUAUCAUCAGAUCUAGCAUGGCUCGUGAGUUAGAGAUGGAUAUUUCUUAUCAGCACGUGGUGAGCAGUCCUAGAAGGAUUGAGGGUAUACAUUCUAGGGAGAGGGAUGAGCGAGAGAGGUCAAGAGGUCUCGUGAGUCAGGCCAUUAUUCUGCGCCCGCACCCCAGUUGUAGGUCAUCAUGCAAGGGGUUAUAUGAGUCGCCCAUUUCAUUCAACUUUUCCAGCAGCCAGCAAUGCUCCAGCUCCUCCUAGGCCUCAAGAGCCUUAUUAUCCACGUGCAGUUUCUAGCAUGCCUCCUACGCGUGGUGUUUCCAGAGGUCAAUCCAGCAGAUUUUGUCCUAGCUAGUUGCACCACCACAUCUUCCCAAAGCUUGUUUUCAGUGUGGUGACACAUGCCAUAUGGUUAGGGAUUGCCCUAGACUUGGGCGGGGUGCAUCUUCAAAGACUUCUCAGCUGUAGCGUGCCCCGAAGAUUUCACAAGCUAUACAGCUCCAGUUGCCGCCCCGCCUAUUCAGCUAGCUAGAGGUGGUGGCCGGGGAGGUAGAGGUCACCCUCGAGGGGGAGACCAGGCCAUAUACUAUGACCUUCUUGCUCGUGCCGAGGAUGUUGCUUCCGAUUCUGUUAUCAUGAGCAUUAUACAGGUUUGUCACAGAGAUGCAUCAUUUCUAUUCAAUCCAGGCUCUACUUACUCUUAUUUGUCUUAUUAUUUCCCUCCUCAUUUGGCUGUACCCCGAGAUUCCUUGAGUUCUCCUGUGUAUGCAAACAUAAGUGGAAACAUUAAAGGAUUAAAAUAGUUCAGGAUUGAAAUAACAAUGAAAAGCAUCCCGAGAACAACGACAUAGUCACAAAGCAUGAAUUCACAUUGCCUAGAGUCAACAGGAGGAGUUUUAACCUUGUACUCAAUCAAGAACAGACAAGAUCCAUUAAUUCAACAAAGGUUUCUUAUGGUCUUGGUCCACUAACUAAUACUAGGUGAACACACAACCUUGUACCGUUCAUAAGUUAGUUUGUUGGAUAAAACAGUCACACAUAAAAGCAAGCAAGUUGAAGGAAUAGGUACUGUGAUUUAAUCCUAUGUUUAUUAUGGAUGAACAUCUAUAAUAGGAAAAAAUCAUUGGUCUAAUGACAUAGGGGUAGACUCAUAGAUAUAUUGUAAGCAAGACAUCACAAACGUAGUGAAUAGAAACAGGCAGGUUGACAUGCUGAAAAUAGGACCCUCUAGGUUUAACCAUAUGUAAGCAAGAAUGUUGAUUAAUGCAUUAGCAUAUAUCACAUAAGUCUUAGAAAUAGGCAUACUAAUACCACGGAAACAUACUAAUUAAAACAACAUGAAAGUAAACAUGCUAGGACAGGAAACACACAAAUCUUGAAAACAGACAAUGUAGAAAUUUGAAGGUAGGGACAAACCACAUAGAUCUUAGUUAAGAGGGAUGCUAAUAUCAGGGAAACAUACUGAUUCAACGACAUGAAAGCAUGCAUGUUGAGAACAAGAAACAUACUGAAUUAGUAACGUACAAGUGAUCAUGUUCAGCAGGAAGUACAUAAACCAAGUCAUACAGAUGUCAGAAUAGUAAUAAAGUGAGACAUAUCGUUUAGGAAUUUGCAGUAUGAGAGUGAGGUAAAUAGGAUCCAAGAUCUAGCCUUGGCUUUCAUCCGGCUAGACAGUGCAAUAGACAAAUAAUAGUAGAGAGCAAGAGCUUUUAGAGGUGUUGUUCCUUAGGUCUAUGUAUGCGUUUGAAUAUGGUCAUGUAUUUAUAGGAGUCUGAGUAGUGUAAAGUAAAUAAAGCAAAGAAAUCAAUCAAACAUUCAAUCAAGCUUGACAUGGCAGAAAAUCACGGAGACAUACCCAAAAAUAACUUUGGUUGAGUUUUAAAUAAGGCAAGAAGUGAUUCAAACAACUAGUUAGGGUCAUAACACCAUAAAUCAAAUAAUUAACCACACAAAUAAGGUGACAUAAAUAAUAAGAGACCAAUCUGGGAUCAAACACCCCUUAAAAUAAGCUUAAUAGGCGAGGAAUGUCAAUUAGGAAUCUCAAAACUGAGGAAAGCGGGUAAAAUAUGGUAAAUCAUCUCAGCAAAACAUGAAAGCUUAGAUGGUUGAGUAAUUCAAGCAACUAUCUAAAAAUAAUGGGCGGAAUAUUAAAGUGAACAACGAACAAUCAAAUAACUAAGACUGGAACAUAAUCAUUAAAGAAAGAUUAAUCAAACACAUAAUGAAUUUUAGAAAAGCCUUUUUCAAAAAUAGACGAAGUGGAACUUCAUUUUGAAAAACAUUAAGAGUCUAUUAACAGAAAAGAAAUAAGAGAUCUUUAAAGAAAAAUCGCUGACAAACUCACAAUCACUCCACAUCUUCAAAGAUCUCGACAGAUUUAUGUCUAAAAGAUUAGGGUGUUGAGGAAAGAGGUAGGAUAAAGAGAAUCUUGUUUUGAACCAAGCAAUCGAACCAUAAACUCAAGAUGAUUGCACUCACAAAAGGAAGUGACCAUCGACAGACUUCUUAAAUAGUCUCAAACAAGAUCUGUGCUACAUCUCUUUGAUAUCUCUUUCAUAAUAUCGUAAAAUUGAACAAUCAGAAGAAGCAUGAGACCAGUAGAGGUCUGAAACAACCAUGGAAUCCCAUGGAAUAGGUAAAAAUUGAAGGGAUUCAGGAUACGUUUAGGUGGCGGCGAUUAGUGUUAGGGUUGGUCUUAGACGGAACCAGAGAAGAGGGUAUUCAAGGGCGGCUGGUAUAUGAAGAAUG
rnacentral:lncRNA from 1 species